rnacentral:rRNA from 1 species
UGGGGAAUUUUGCACAAUGGGGGAAACCCUGAUGCAGCGACGCCGCGUGAUUUAGAAGGCCUUCGGGUUGUAAAAAUCUUUUUUACGGGAUGAAAAUGACAGUACCGUAAGAAUAAGGUCCGGCUAAAUACGUGCCAGCAGCCGCGGUAAUACGUAUGGACCGAGCGUUGUCCGGAAUCAUUGGGCGUAAAGGGUACGUAGGCGGCCUAGUAAGUUAGAAGUGAAAUAAUAUAGCUCAACUAUAUAAAGCUUUUAAAACUGCUACGCUUGAGAGAUGGAAGGGAAAGUGGAAUUCCUAGUGUAGCGGUGAAAUGCGCAGAUAUUAGGAAGAAUACCGGUGGCGAAGGCGACUUUCUGGUCAUCAUCUGACGCUGAGGUACGAAAGCGUGGGUAGCAAACAGG